AGAGGACGCAUCUUCCCAGAAGACCCCGGCAAAUCCGAAGUCGAGUUUUUAUUGGUUGAGUCGAUUAGGUGGGAUUUCUGAUUGGAUUAGGCCCGGGAUCAGAUCCCAUCCCCGGAAGUGGGAGUGGUUCUGCUCUCAGUCUGGGUCUCGAGCAGCUGUGUGGUAGGACUGUGGAACGGGUAGCGGCCGCCAGCUAAGUCCUUUACACUCUCCGUGCCCUCCGCGCCCUCGGCUCUCCUGGGCCCAGGCGUUCUGUUGAGGUUUCCGGGGUCUCCACCGAGCCAUACCCUCUGCGCUCACCUUCACGGCGUAAGCCACGUGGAGCUGACGUCCUGAGGGCGUCGGGCGGUGGACCAGGCGGUCCUAGGAGAGAUAGGCUGGGGGCCGCUGCCCCGAGCCCAGCUACACCGCCUGGCGGUUGCGGUUCUUCUACUGUCAGCCGCGCUAGGGCACAUCUGGAACCAAAGCUGCAUUUCACUGAGUGUUAAGAGCAGCAGGGCCGGAGAUUUAGCUCGGUGGUUCCGUCGCCUGCCUCUCAAGCGCAAGGUCCCGAGUUCGAUACACGGUGCCAAAAAAGAACAGCAGGCUCCACAGACAGAACCAUUCACUGCUGGGACCUGGAAAAUGUAAAGUGUACAUGAAAAACAAAACAAAAGCCUGUUUACAAAAUCCCCAGCUUCAUCUGCAGGUCGAAGCCGAACAGUUUAACCUGUCCCCUCUGGGCGUCCCGGGGCUCCCACCCCCUACCCGCCUUAGACCUCGGUGGUUGGGACGUUUUGGGGACGAGGGGGAAGGGCUAUUCAGUAUAGCCCACCUGGUUCUGGCAGGAAGGCGACAGCCUGUGUUAAGACACAGAGCUCGGUGGGCCGGGGAUUUAGCUCAGUGGUUUCGCCGCCUGCUGCGCAAGCACAAGGACCCAAGUUCAAUCCGGGGUACCAAAAAAAAAAAACAGAGCUCGAGGCGGGGAUGGGCGUCUUGGCAGUAGUAGUCACCAGAAUGUCUUUACUGUAUGUAUAAUCGCCCCGGAUAGUGCUGAGAGUUCACUUUACAGCAUCUAUACGCUGCCCAGGGAUGGACAUGGAACCGGAGCCGACCCACUUCCAGGCCUGGUAGGCUGGUGUAGAGCUGCUCCCCUUCCUUCUGGUGUCCUAUCCCCUCUUCAUUCCUGAGAACUCUGGGACGGAUCGCUAUUCCUGAUUUUAUGGAUGAAGAAGUGAAGAGACAGAAAUUAAACAGCCAGCCUGGAGUUACAGAGGCCUUUCAAGCCUAGAAGUGGUGAAUUUCCUGGCAGGACCUAAGAGCAACAGCUGCUUCUGAACUGGGGCCCCAACAGUCCAGAGAACAUGGAUGAGCCCAACUUGGGUGGAGGACAGAAACCUUACUGGAAAGAGGACCUACACCCUAGCCGGCUGCUGACAGCUACCAUCUCUACCCUGUGAAGCCAGAUCCCUUAGGGCACAGAAAUUAUCCUCCUGCUGGCGCACUUUCCAGAUCAAGGUGUAUAGGGAGCCAGACCUGAGCAGGACUGAGCACUGGAUUCCAGUUCUGGGUCACAGAACCUCGCUCUGCACCAUAAGGAAUUCAGGCGUUGGUGCAAACCCACAAGAAUGGCCAAGGAAGCACUUUACUCACACACACUCGAAGAUUAGAAGAAGAUUAGAAGAAAACCCCGUGAGUGGAUUAACUGUGUACGCAAGUUCUGGAAAUGAGACCAAAUGUGUGGUGGACAUGGACCAAGCCCUGCCAGCCUGAGGAGCCGCACAGGCCACUUCCUGGUCCCUUGUUGAAGGGCGGAGCCCAAACGUUCCCGCCAAGUUUAGGGUCCUGUCCUGGGACUAAUUUUGCAAGCAUUAACCAGCACUUCAUAAGAAUGGAGCUGGAGGGAGAGCAGGAGGGGAGGUGGGGGAGGUAGAGCACGCAGUGGGCUGCAGCACAGGGAAUGGGCAGGAUCUGCUUGUGUGGAGCCAGUGGGCUGGUAGCACGGAGCAUAUCACUCCUGCACCCUAGGGUUGCAGGCACCGGGGACCCAUGUCCAGCUCUCGCAGGCCCCUGGGGCAGCUCUGAGGACACAAAGCAGCCACAGAGAGAAACGCAAUCUGUGCUGUGAGCUCAGGCCCCCUGGGAAACUCAGACAUGUAGAAGAGACAGCCCACCACCAGGGGCCACCUCUUGACACCCGAAUUUGAGUUCAUUUGCAUCUCUGGCCCCAGGGUGGCCCCUGACAGGCUGGGUGCUUCUGUUGGGGUGGGGCAGGAGGGUCUGGAUGGAUGCCUGGAACGGGAUGGGGCGAGGUGCCCUGACCGCCUGUUCUGCAUGGCGAGCUGGCAAGGAGAAGAGGGUGUGGAGCAAAUGCAGAGCAGGGGCUCAGCCAGGGAGGGUGUGGGCCGUGGGCUCUAAAAAAGGUUUUCUAAAAGCACACAUCAGGGGUCAAGGGGGAGCUUGUCAGGGCAGGGUGGGGCAUCUCCUGACAGCCUGUGCCAAGCCCCGGUCCAGAUGACCUUGAGGUUCGGGGAGGGAAGAGAAGGAUGGGAGGAGAGGGGCUGUGGAUGGUUCCAGGGGUCAGAUAACAAGCAGUCUUGGAGGUCAUGGAGAAGAGACUGGCAGUGUACCCUAAAUCCAGUAGGAAAGACACCUCAGGAACCUUUAACCAGAGGGAUGACACGGUGUAAUCUACGUUUGUAAAAGAUCCCUGAGGGUAAAGAAAGGGUCAUAGACCGUAUUAGGAAAGACAGGACCACUAGAAGCGAUCAGACCAGUCCUGGGAUGAAGGAGAGGGCUGCGGGUAUGGAGGUGGGCUGUGGGCUGGAUUCUGGGCACUGAGUCAGCACUGUCACCUAUCUACCAGGUGGUGUUUCUGGCUCCUUCAGAGCCCCAACCCCCUGCCCCCAUGCCCAUCAUCCUUCCCAUUGAUCAAAUGCGAGGAUUUCACAUUCAUUGUGUCGUUUAAGCCUCAUGGUUUUGCAGCCGGUUCAGGAUGCUGUAAUGAACCACUGAAGACUGUGUUCCUCAGCAACAGUUAUUUUUCACAGUUCUGAGGUGGGGUAUCCCGUGGUCAAGAAGUGGGUUCCGUCUCAGGGGAGGGUCACUUCCUGGUUUUCAGAGGGCCGCCUUCUUGCUAUGUCCUCUGUGCUAGUCAGCUCUUCACAGCUGUGACCAAAUCUUUGAGAGAAACAGCUUAAAGGAAGAAAGGUUUGUUUUGGCUCCCAGCUCAGAGGUUUCAGUCCAGGACCAGCCAGCUCCAUUGCUUUCAGGCCUGUGGUGAGGCAGAAACAUCAUGGCGGAAGGAAAUGUUGGAAAGCCGAGAAGAAGACAGAGAAGGAGCCAGAGACAGAGAGAAGAAGGGGCCUGGACAAGAUACACCCUUCAAAGUGUGUCAUUAUUCACAAAAGAGAACCCAGAGAGCUCCCUGCAAAGGUGUGCUUCCUCCCCAGGGACCUCUUCCCUCCCGCAGUGGGCCACCCCUUCAUAGCCCAUUCAUCUGCCAGCUCAUAACGCUGCUAGUGCCUUCACGAUCCAGGCACCUCUGGAAGUUGCUGCCCUGGAACAGAAUGGCAGGGAGCUCUCUGGGGUCUCUUUUGUAGUUAAUGGACCUAAUUCCACUCAUAAGGGUUCUAUCUUUUUGACCUAAUCACCCCCUCCAAAAGCCCACAUCCCAAUACUAUCACAUUUGGGGGUGUUGUGGUUGAGUUCCAGAAUGUCCCCCAAAACUCAUGCACUCACAGGUGGGGCUUUUCACAGGUAACUGGAUCAUGGGGUGGGGGGCUAAUGCUUGUCAGUGGGUUAACCCACGGAUGCACUUACAGCUGAAUAUGCUGUUGGGAGGUGGGGCCUGGUGGGAAGAGGUGGGGCCCUGGGGUGCACCCUGGAAGUUUGUGUUCCCUUCCUCCCUUUUCUCUCUGCUUCCAGCUGACAUGAGGUGAGCAACCAUUUCUCUGGUGAAGCCUGCUGACCAUGCAUGGACUGAGACCUCUAAGCCUGAGCCAACAUAAACCUCUCCUUUAAAUUGUGGGUAUUGUGUCUCAGUGAUGAGGAAAGUGACUAAAUGGGGCUUAUGGUUUAAACAUAUGGAUUUAGAAAAUCCAAACAUUCAUUCCGUAUCAGUCCACUCUUGCUCCCAUUUAAGUCCUUUUUGCAUGGAAAGUGCAUAUUCAUUUCACCCUAUGCCUCUCCACAGUCAUAACUCAUUCCGGCAUCAGCUCUAAGCACUGAAGAUCAUCUAAAUCAGAUAUGAAUGACACAUAAGGCAGGAUUUGUCUGAAGACAGAACUCCUCUCUCUCCAUUUGUGAAACUAUGGAACCAAACAAGUUAUGUGCUUUCCAAAUCCGGUGGUGGGACAGACAGACAGAAGGGAAGAUAGGAAGGAGAAAAGAGGGUCCAGUGCUAUCAGGCAAGUCUCACAAGACCUUAGGGCUGGAGAAUGACCCUCACUUUACCUCCAGACCCCAGGGCCUUUGGUCCUGGCCCCAGAGCUCUGCCAAGCAGGAGAACAGCCCAUGGCUUGGGGCAAAGUUUGCCUGCCUAUUGAAAGUGAGUCGUUGGCCUCCCUGCAAGGAGGCUGCCCUGAUGACCUCUGAGUCUCCUUCAAGGUCAGUUUCUGCUUGUCUGGAAGGAGAGUGCUUUGAGAGCUCUGAGGUCUUGUCCUGUGAAACCUACAGGUCAGAGAGCUGCUUCCUGGCCCCCACAUCCCAGUGCCCAGAAGGUGGGAGUAGCCCAUCAGGUCUGAGGUUCACAUUCGUGGUAAUCUCUUUACUAAGAGUCACUUGGGUACACUCUUAAUGUUCUCUUCUGAUUAUACAUUUGAUACAUUUCAAUUAUACCUUUUUUUCAAUAUGGAUAGAUGAGAAUUUUCUGGAUUUUGAAGUUUUAGUUCCUUCUUUUUGCUUAAUAAUUUUGUCCUCAAGCCGGUCUUUCCUUGCAUUCAAUAUCAGCAGUCAGGAGGAAUCAAGCCAUUCUUCCAACAGUUGGCUUAGAAAUCUCCUCCACUAAAACCCCAGUUUCAUCAGGGCUCACAAAUCCACCUUCCAGGAAGCACUCAGGAACACAACUCCGGCAAGCUCUCUGCCACUUUGUAUCAAGGAUGUCUUUCUUGCUGUUUCCAGAAACACUUCCUUCUUUCUCUCCAAUACUUCACCAGAGGGUCUGUAUCAUCCAGACUGCCACCGACUGUCUGCACCUGGUUACUUGGACAUUCUCGGAGAAGACCAAGGCCUUCCUGUAUCCCUCUAUUCUUCACUAGAAUCACCUCAAAACCCUCUUUGCCCUCUUAAAGCUCAGCUUCUUCUAGCGUGCACCUCCAAUCUCCAUGAGCACCUUCCAUGCCACAGUUGUAUUUUCCCAGCACCACUCCUGCUACUGGCUGGAGUGGUGGCCAGUGGCCCUUUUCACGCUCUUGCUCUCUUGUUCAAGGAAUUGGAUGAAAUAACCAAUGAACAUAAAAGUUUAACAUUUAUUUAAAGGCAAACAAAAGAAAGGUAAAAGAAGAAGAAAAAGAAGUGCUCAAGAAGAAGUGCUCUGGAGAGAAGACAUACCCUGCAUGCAGGCCAGGCCACAGCAAGAACAAGGGGGCAGUGGUGGCAAGGUCCGUCUGCUGUCUUUGAUGUCUUUUGAUGUCAGGUCCAGACAGUCAGUGCGAAGCCGCAUCUCCACGGAGAUUUGCCAACUCUCUGUGAUUGAUGGGUCAUGCCGGGUUGUCCAGGCUCUUGGCCAUGCCCUAGUCUCCUGCUUCACUCUUGCCUCCUAGUAGGUUCCCUGUCAUAGCCAGGCUACCAUGACAAAUGACCACUGACCAGGUGGCGUUAAUGACAAACACUUGCUUCUUAUGGUUCUGGAGUCCAAGAAGUCCAAGUCAAGGUGCUGGUAGAACCACUGUCUGCUGAAGGCUUUUCCGGUCCACAGAUGGCUGCGUUCUCACUGCACCCUGAUGCUGUGGAGACUGACCGCUCCCUGGGGUCCUUUUGAUAACACCACUUAUCCCAUACAUGAGGGCCCCAGCUCCACUGCCUAAGGUCAGUGGGUGGGAUCAGCACAUGAACUCUGGCAGGACACAAACCCUCGUCCUGUAUGCACUGUACCCAUGAUGCACCAUGAUGGUUCUCUCACUGGUCAGAACACCAAGCCCCUUCUCCACUGGUGUCACCUAACACUGCUGGAAAUGCACAUUCUCAGGGUUUCAGGGUCUACUGAGUGUGUGUGUGGGUGCUCUGGGAGCCUCUGGGAGGUGGAUCCAUGCUCAGGUUCUGAACCCCUUCUUAGAGCACCCCCCCACUUCACAGAUGAGACAACCAUGGGCCAGGGGCAGUGCUGGGGUCAGGACCCAGAACUCACACACAGAUGCAAAAAAGCUAAGAGCAAGACUGGCACAGAUAGCAAAGCAACCCUAGUACUUUAGUGAGCUCACUAGUAAGGAGCUCAGGAUGCUGCAAACUCUGACUUAAAAAGUAGAGGAAUGGUGCCCCGGUCACAUUGAAAUAAGUUUGGGGACAGAGAUAUGAUGGGUUGGUUAAGAUCCUUAAGGACAAUAAUUUUCCUACAGGACAUCUGCAUCUUGGGGUAGACAGAUUCUCUAAACUACCAUGCAACGUCAGUGACUCACCUCACAGAACAGUCAGUGGCAAGUAGAAAGUGAGUCCCUGAGGUUGUGUAGUGAUCCCGAGGAGUCUGGUUAAAGGGUGCCCUGCAUGGCAGUCCAUGGUUACACCAGCACCUCAGGCCCAAUUCUGCAUUUACAUGCUUCUUCCCAACACCUCCCGCUGUAGACAGCCUGCCUGUGAGCGCCUGACCAGGGCACAUCUGGGCCCCAGCUGUGUUCCUGAGGGCACCAUGGCCCAGGGGCAAAGUUGGGGGUCAGAAUCCUAGAGCCACUGCAGGAGAGAGGCUAUAACCUUAUUUUGUUGUUUGAUUCUCCUAGAUUUUCCACAGGGACCAUUUGGGAAACUUUAAAGUAUUAAGGGGGGGGGGAGCCUGUUUCUAUUAACAUUGCCCCCAGAGCAAUAACAGCUCUGCAAGUUUCAAAACAAAAAUAUUUUUCUGAGUGCUGAACAAUGCAGCCAUCAGAGGACGAUGUGUCACGGCUGGGCAGCAGGCUCCGCAAACAGGCUAUUAUUAGUUCUCCCACGACCCAGAGCCCUGGUUUACACACCCUGACUGGGCCACACUUCCUGAAACUAGCAAAACCCUCUCUAAUUAGUCUGUUAAUAGAAACCGGUUGGGAGCCCACUUAUUUCUGUGUCCAGUUUUUCCUUCCAAUCUCUUAGAUCCAUUAAACAUCAUAUAGCUGGAGGAAUCCAAUGAUUUUGUUAACAACAAUAACAACAAAAAAACUGACCAGGUUUUAACAACCAGAGUGAAAAACAGCAAUCACUUAGCAAUCUUUCCAACUCAAGUAUGAAAAAUAUUAUGGUGUUUAUUCUUGGUAAACCCUUUGGUGCUGUAAACAGUUUGAGGGGCUGCGUUGAUUAUGGAGAAGAUGUGGUUUUUUUAUUAGUACCUGUUUACUGUAUGUAUUGAAUACUUUCAUUGGGGUAGUUGGUACAUGUAUGUGACACAUCUUAAUCCUUUUUAAGUCCCUUUCCCUCCCUUUUCUCCC